CCCAGUUCUACUGCCCACCGUAUAGACGUCCCACCUAACCAGUAGGAGUCAAGGACAUGAUCCCUCACUGGCUUCCCACCCACUAACGCGGCCAAUCGUGUUUGUUGGAAUGCACGACCAAGAUGACCAAGCUCGAGGUGACUCCAGAGCCACUGAGGAAGCCAUUCAUCCUCUACCUGCCACGUUGUUAGAGGACUGAGAGAGGAAAGACGAACAAAUGUGCAGAUGUGUGAAGAGGACACCUGCUUCUUUUUGGUCUCCGAACACAUUCUUUCAG